AUUGUUCGCAAUGGGCGCAAGCCUGACGACGCAACGCCGCGUGGAGGAUGAAGGUCUUCGGAUUGUAAACUCCUGUUGCCCGGGACGAAUGGCUCCGACCUAACACGUCGGGGUGUGACGGUACCGGGUGAGGAAGCCCCGGCUAACUCUGUGCCAGCAGCCGCGGUAAUACGUAGGGAGCAAGCGUUGUCCGGAUUCACUGGGUGUAAAGGGUGCGCAGGCGGAUUGUGCAAGUCGGUGGUGAAAUCUCACGGCUUAACCGUGAAAUUGCCUCCGAUACUGCCAAUCUUGAGUUCGGGAGAGGUCGAUGGAAUUCCAGGUGUAGCGGUGAAAUGCGUAGAUAUCUGGAAGAACACCAGUAGCGAAGGCGGUCGACUGGCCCGUAACUGUCGCUCAGGCACGAAAGCGUGGGUAGCAAAC
rnacentral:rRNA from 1 species